AAUUGGUUUCUUUAUAUGAAGAUCAAGGCGAUGGUUUGUGAUUCUAGUCGUUGGUUUUUAUGUCGCCUUUACAAAUUGGAUUUUUGAUGAUUUUUGUUUGAAAAUCUCAUCAGAAAGAGAUUGCUUGAUCUCUUUUUGAAAAGGAUGCGACGAGGAGUUGGUCUCUUCUAUAAAAGGUUCCUUGAUCUCUUCUUGAAAAAGGUUGCGACGAGGAUCAGGUUUCUUCCGCAAAAGAUUAAUUCUUCGGGGAUGAAGAUCCAGCGGAAAAGAUUAAUUCUUCGGGGCAUGAAGAUCCAGCGGAAUAGAUUAAUUCUUCGGGGAUGAAGAUCCAGAUCAUAAGAUUGUGAUUCCGUUUGGUGAUUUGUCAUCUGAAUUUUGGAUGACAACACGAGGGAAAGUUUGCUUAAUGCCAAGCAUCGUCAAAUAGAAGAAAUCAUGCAGUAUUGAUUAUCCAGCCCACAAUGAAAAUUUUGCUGCUGAAUCAUAUUGGAAGGUCGCGAGGAAGGGAAGAACAGAUGUAUAUUUAGAUUUGUUGCUUGUUUGGGUAGUUUUUAAGCGGAUCUAUUGUGUUCUUGGUGUAUAUUGAAACCGGUUUCAUCUCCAUCCAAGAAAAAGAUCAGCUGAAGGCAGUGAAAAAGGUGAUGUAUAAUUAUGUAAUAUGACCUUUGCCAUGAUGGGUGCGCUCGCAUGGCAGGUCGCCAAAUCCUUAAUAAAAUUUUUCUUUUUGUGGUUCUUGAGGGGGAGAUCGCACGGGGAUUAGAGUUUUUUAGUUCCCCCGGGUUCUCCCCUUCAUCUUGUGUGCUUCCUUGUGUGUGUGUGUGUGUCUCUGUCUCUGUGUGUGCGCGUGCUUAUGCCUUCACCAAUGACAGCACUUCCACGAUUAUUACCGGUUACUACCUUCCAUCUCCGGCUUGGCAGGCCAUGCAUGUGAUCUGCCUCACCAUGUAUGUCUCCCAUCUUAAUCGCAGAUGUUAUCAUGACUCAAUUCUUUAAGGGUUCACUCUGCUACAUGACUCAUAUGUUAUUGUCAAUUGAUCUCAAGUUGGGUUGUGGUCACCAAAUAUCCAUCCCUCUUGCUGUUUUGGAAAGGAGUUUUUUUUUCUUCGUAAAGCAAAGUGAAACCGGUCUCAGAAGUUGUGGCAUAGAAAAGUCUGGUGCCUGACAGAUAUGGCACAAACUUGAGCAGUCCUCUCUUGUUCUUCCUCUAGUCUAAGGCAGGCAAAUAUUUGAUCUUAAGCGCAGGUUAGGAAGGAGUUUCUUUUGGUUGCUCAUUUCAAGUGAGCUUUUCAAACAUAUGCUAAAAUAAGUUGGUUAUCAUUGUUUAUCAAGUGAAGGUUUCAAACUUUUAUCGCAAGUUCAAACCUGGGGAUUUCCUAGUUAUACCCUGGUAAUCAUAAUAUAUUUUCGAUUUGUUGGAUCGUCCAAUUUUAGACUAAGUUUGAUUCCUUUCCAUGACAUGAAGAUGAGUUCUUGUUGUGGUACCUGAGCUGAUAACUAUAGUCUUAUCAUUAGCUUGUUGAUGCUGUUUGUUAGCUGGUUAGCCUUUUAUAUGCUGCAUGCAUUGUAUUUAGAUGUUCACUUUCUGGUGCUGAUACGGAGGCCAUUGCUUUAGCUGAUUUCAUUUGUUCUGGCAAUUGUUUGCUCUAGUCAUGAUGCACUCAACUUUAACUGAUUAGUCACCUUUUUUCUUUCAUUGGGCACAGUGAGAGUUCAGUAUGCAGGAUCUUAAGCUCAAAAUUGGCAGAGUGCUCUUGCAUUUGUGGUUUUAGCUUUUAUUAAUUUAUUCACAAAUGCUGGAGUGGGUGGUGGUUCGAAUCCAUCAAGAUCCAAUUCUUUUUUGUCAUAUUGGUCUUCAAGAAUAUAUAUAUAUAUAUAUUUUUUUGUUAUUUAUUAGAUAUUUUCUUGGGUUAUAUUGGUUGCUUUGUAUUACUGUUGAAUUUUAGUAAACAAAAAUUACUGAAGGCUUUUAGAAAGGAAAUUAAGAGAACAAUUUCGUAUU